rnacentral:rRNA from 1 species
UACGUAGGGUGCGAGCGUUGUCCGGAAUUAUUUGGGCGUAAAGAGCUUGUAGGUGGUUUGUCGCGUCUGCUGUGAAAAUCCGAGGCUCAACCUCGGACUUGCAGUGGGUACGGGCAGACUAGAGUGUGGUAGGGGAGACUGGAAUUCCUGGUGUAGCGGUGAAAUGCGCAGAUAUCAGGAGGGAACACCGGUGGGCGAAGGCGGGUCU